rnacentral:rRNA from 1 species
CCGGCGAUGUCCGAAUGGGGAAACCCAGUGUGAUUCGUCACACUAUCGUUAACUGAAUACAUAGGUUAACGAGGCGAACCGGGGGAACUGAAACAUCUAAGUACCCCGAGGAAAAGAAAUCAACCGAGAUUCCCCCAGUAGCGGCGAGCGAACGGGGAGCAGCCCAGAGUCUGAAUCAGCUUGUGUGUUAGUGGAACGGUCUGGAAAGUCCGACGGUACAGGGUGAUAGUCCCGUACACCAAAAUGCACAGGCUGUGAACUCGAAGAGUAGGGCGGGACACGUGGUAUCCUGUCUGAAUAUGGGGGGACCAUCCUCCAAGGCUAAAUACUCCUGACUGACCGAUAGUGAACCAGUACCGUGAGGGAAAGGCGAAAAGAACCCCGGCGAGGGGAGUGAAAAAGAACCUGAAACCGUGUACGUACAAGCAGUGGGAGCACCUU